UAAGGAAUAUUGGUCAAUGGGCGGAAGCCUGAACCAGCCAAGCCGCGUGCAGGAAGACGGCCCUAUGGGUUGUAAACUGCUUUUGUUCCGGAAUAAUAAGGGCUUCGUGAAGUCCUGAUGAAAGUACCGUACUGAAUAAGGACCGGCUAACUUCCGUG
rnacentral:rRNA from 1 species